rnacentral:rRNA from 1 species
GAUGAACGCUAGCUACAGGCUUAACACAUGCAAGUCGAGGGGCAGCAUGAUUGAAGCUUGCUUCAAUCGAUGGCGACCGGCGCACGGGUGAGUAACACGUAUCCAACCUGCCGAUAACUCGGGGAUAGCCUUUCGAAAGAAAGAUUAAUACCCGAUAGUAUAGUAUUUCCGCAUGGUUUCACUAUUAAAGAACUUCGGUUAUCGAUGGGGAUGCGUUCCAUUAGAUAGUUGGCGGGGUAACGGCCCACCAAGUCAACGAUGGAUAGGGGUUCUGAGAGGAAGGUCCCCCACAUUGGAACUGAGACACGGUCCAAACUGCUACGGGAGGCAGCAGUGAGGAAUAUUGGUCAAUGGACGAGAGUCUGAAACAGCCAAGUAGCGUGAAGGAGUACUGCCCUAUGGGUUGUAAACUUCUAUUAUACGGGAAUAAAGUGGAGUAUGCAUACUCCUUUGUAUGUACCGUAUGAAUAAGGAUCGGCUAACUCCGUG